AUGGAGCAGUUCCAUCACGGCCACCACGUGCGGCUGCGCAGCAGCGAGCUCGGCACGUACCUGCACGCCGACCAGGACGGACAUGGCGUCUCCCUCCAGCACCGCCGGGCGUCGAUGAAGGCGGCUUGGGCGGUGCACGUGUACCAGCCCCCCGAGGCGUUUGUGCCUCACCUGCUCCUCCACAGCGCCGCCUACGGUCGCUACCUCGCCGCCACGGACGAGCCGGCGCCGCAGGGCCACCGCGGGCGCCGCGUCGAGCAGCGCAACUACGACCAUCCGGAGGCGGACGCACAGGGAAUCAUCUGGCUGGCCGUCCUGACGGCAUCCAGAGACAAAGUCUUCCUCCGCAACUUCAACGGCGGCUGCCUCCGCGCCAACGGGAGGUACCGCCCCUGGAACAACGGCGCCAGUGUCGACGACGUCGACGUCAACGACAUCGGCAACCUCAGCACGAUGAUGCACUGGGUCGUGGAGGACAUCCCCGCCAGGGAGAUCACGCCUCUCCUUCCACGCCCGGCUUGGCUUACCCUCCCCGCCGUCAUAUCGCCGUCGCGGGUGAUCGUGUACGUGUGGCUGGACGCCGACGGGACCGUCCUCAGCGAAGGCUCGUUCUCGUUCAGUGGGAGGUCCGUGUUCCGCCUGAGGAGCGAGCUGGCCAGGUGGCUCGCCGACAACGGCAUCGCAAUCGUGGACGCCCCCGACCUCGUCAUGUGCCUCCCCACCCGUGAUGGCCGCAUUUCCCCACUCGUCGUCGACCUGCCCCGCAGCCUCCAGACCCUCCACAUCAUCGUCGUCAUCGUCGGGUCGCCUGCUCACGCGGCGCUGCGGUACGCGGAUGUCGAUGCAGAGUAG
rnacentral:rRNA from 1 species